rnacentral:rRNA from 1 species
GGACUGGUUCACAGGUGGUGCAUGGUUGUCGUCAGCUCGUGUCGUGAGAUGUUGGGUUAAGUCCCGCAACGAGCGCAACCCUCGUUCUAUGUUGCCAGCACGUGAUGGUGGGGACUCAUAGGAGACUGCCGGGGUCAACUCGGAGGAAGGUGGGGACGACGUCAAAUCAUCAUGCCCCUUAUGUCUUGGGCUUCAAGCAUGCUACAAUGGUCGGUACAAUGGGUUGCGAAACUGUGAGGUGGAGCGAAUCCCAAAAAGCCGGCCUCAGUUCGGAUUGGGGUCUGCAACUCGACCCCAUGAAGUCGGAGUCGCUAGUAAUCGCAGAUCAGCAACGCUGCGGUGAAUACGUUCCCGGGCCUUGUACACACCGCCCGUCAAGUCACGAAAGUCGGU